GACGACCGCUGGCGGCGUGCUUAACACAUGCAAGUCGAACGGAAAGGCCCUGCUUUUGUGGGGUGCUCGAGUGGCGAACGGGUGAGUAACACGUGAGUAACCUGCCCUUGACUUUGGGAUAACUUCAGGAAACUGGGGCUAAUACCGGAUAGGAGCUCCUACUGCAUGGUGGGGGUUGGAAAGUUUCGGCGGUUGGGGAUGGACUCGCGGCUUAUCAGCUUGUUGGUGGGGUAGUGGCUUACCAAGGCUUUGACGGGUAGCCGGCCUGAGAGGGUGACCGGCCCCAUUGGGACUGAGAUACGGCCCAGACUCCUACGGGAGGCAGCAGUGGGGAAUAUUGCACAAUGGGCGGAAGCCUGAUGCAGCAACGCCGCGUGCGGGAUGACGGCCUUCGGGUUGUAAACCGCUUUCGCCUGUGACGAAGCGUGAGUGACGGUAAUGGGUAAAGAAGCACCGGCUAACUACGUG
rnacentral:rRNA from 1 species